rnacentral:rRNA from 1 species
CACUCCUGCGGGAGGCAGCAGUGGGGAAUUUUGGACAAUGGGCGAAAGCCUGAUCCAGCAAUGCCGCGUGUGUGAAGAAGGCCUUCGGGUUGUAAAGCACUUUUGUCCGGAAAGAAAUCCUUGGCUCUAAUACAGUCGGGGGAUGACGGUACCGGAAGAAUAAGCACCGGCUAACUACGUGCCAGCAGCCGCGGUAAUACGUAGGGUGCGAGCGUUAAUCGGAAUUACUGGGCGUAAAGCGUGCGCAGGCGGUUUGCUAAGACCGAUGUGAAAUCCCCGGGCUCAACCUGGGAACUGCAUUGGUGACUGGCAGGCUAGAGUAUGGCAGAGGGGGGUAGAAUUCCACGUGUAGCAGUGAAAUGCGUAGAGAUGUGGAGGAAUACCGAUGGCGAAGGCAGCCCCCUGGGCCAAUACUGACGCUCAUGCACGAAAGCGUGGGGAGCAAACAGGAUUAGAUACCCCAGUAGUCC